GGAAGAAUAGCUCAGUGGUAGAGUGCAUGCUUAGCAAUGCAUGAGGUCCUGGGUUUAAUCCCCAGUACCACCA
rnacentral:tRNA from 1 species